GUAAAUAGUUUAAAAAAACAAUUAAUCUGCAAUUAAAAAUUACUAUAAAAGUUUUAUCUA
rnacentral:tRNA from 1 species